AGGAAACCUAACCCAUGGCACUAAACUACUGAAAAGGAGAAGUAGCAUAAAAGUCAAUUUAAUGAGCUUAUGUAUGGUAGUUUAUCAAGAAACAGGGCAAACUUUUUUUUUUUUCUUUUUUUUUUUUUGGCCAGUCCUGGGCCUUGGACUCAGGGCCUGAGCACUG